rnacentral:rRNA from 1 species
UACGAAGGGGGCUAGCGUUGUUCGGAUUUACUGGGCGUAAAGCGCACGUAGGCGGAUCUUUAAGUCAGAGGUGAAAUCCCAAGGCUCAACCUUGGAACUGCCUUUGAUACUGGGGAUCUCGAGUCCGGGAGAGGUGAGUGGAACUGCGAGUGUAGAGGUGAAAUUCGUAGAUAUUCGCAAGAACACCAGUGGCGAAGGCGGCUCACUGGCCCGGUACUGACGCUGAGGUGCGAAAGCGUGGGGAGCAACAGG